AAAAAUUACCCAGAUCCCAAAACAUGGCUCCUAAGUGCAUACCUAAUUGCAAAGACACGCAAAUUCUAGGGACAAAUUGUAACAAAAUAAAAUGUAAAUAAGGAUCAACGAAAAGUCUGCGCAAAAACAAGGGACUUGUCGCUCAAAUUUACCAUCCGAAACGCCAAGGCGCAGAUCCAGCCUGUGGAUUGGGCUUGCGCGCGGAUCUGCCCCCUAUACAUGGCACCGUUUUAGUUAAUUCCUAACUAAAAGAAAUUAAAUGGCAAUCUGCCAAUUCCCUCAAACAACCGAAGCAAAUCCUUAGCUUUUCCCCCUUCUAACUGUCAGUUCAUCUCCGCAUAAUGGUGCUCUCAAUCUUGGAGUAACCUUUUAGCCUUGGAGUCUCUUUUGAUUCGAUUUCAACGAAACAAAAAGAAGAAAUCCAUGGCAUAUUCGCACGGUAAGGUUUUCCCUUUCUUUUGUUUUUUUUUUUAUGUUUUAAAUGCGAAAAAACUAAAAGACCAAAAGAAUAAAUCGAAAAGAAAAUCAAAAGCCUCAAGAACUUUGGAUUAGAAAAUCACCUUUUAAUUUCGGUAACCUUUUUGUAUUUCAGUAUGCAUGUGUAUUUCUGGGGAAAAAAUCCCAUUUACAUCGUUUUCCUUCGGUUUUUAUAGCCAAAAAACAAAAUAAAUAAAUAAAUAAAAUACAAAUUUCAUCACUGUCAUUUGUUGUUAUUUGUUGUCCAUUUGCGCUGUCGUUAUUCUGUUUUGCAGGUGUGCAUGGCGUGGAGAGGAGGCUACGCACGCAUGGAAGCUUCAGCGCGUGUGAAUGGCAGCUUGAUGGCCUAGGGUUUCCACUUUCUAGAAAUAACUAAUGGGCUAUGUUUUGGGUUAAGUUUUUGGGCUAUUUUAUGUAAUUGAGUUAGGAUUAGGUCUAGGUCACUAGGUUUGGGUUUUAUUUUUUUUGGGUAUCAAUUUGGGCUUAUUAUUUGUUAAAUGGACUCUGGACUUUGAUUAAAUUUGGGAAUUUUAUUGUUUUUUUUAUUUUAGUUUUGGUUCUGGUAUCAGCCCGGGCGAAAUGGGCCUACUACAAAAUCUAUAUAGAAAGAUAUAAAUAAAUAAGUAACAAAAUUGAAAAAUGAAUAUAAAAGUAUUUAAGAAUAAUUGAUAAAUAAAUAUAAAAAAG
rnacentral:lncRNA from 1 species